rnacentral:misc_RNA from 1 species
UACAUACAGAACUAAUACCCGAGCGUCAUUGCUGCCUAUCAAGCACGGCUUGUGUGUUGGGUCGUCGUCCCCUCUCCGAAGGCAGCGGCGGCACCGCGUCCGAUCCUCGAGCGUAUGGGGCUUAUGUCACCCGCUCUGUAGGCCCGGCCGGCGCUUGCCGAACGCAAAUCAAUCUUCCAGGUUGACCUCGGAUCAGGUAGGGAUACCCGCUGAACUUAAGCAUAUCAAUAAGCGGAGGGUUCCAGGGGUUUGCGGCCGCUCGGGUUGCGCGUGUUUACAGGGGGAGACGCGGAGUACCCGGGAGAACCGGAGGCUUAUCGCGGAGCGCCUUGGCCGAGGAACCCCCACUUCUAUAAGUCCCCCUGGUAUAGCGACCGCUCCAAUUAGUUCCUAGCCGCAGGAAUGGGUGGAACUUAUACUUCUCCU